AGAUUGAACGCUGGCGGCAUGCUUUACACAUGCAAGUCGAACGGCAGCGCGGGGCAACCUGGCGGCGAGUGGCGAACGGGUGAGUAAUAUAUCGGAACGUACCCAAGAGUGGGGGAUAACGUAGCGAAAGUUACGCUAAUACCGCAUACGCCCUUCGGGGGAAAGCCGGGGAUCGCAAGACCUGGCGCGGAUAGAUGAGCCUAGGUCGGAUUAGCUAGUUGGUGAGGUAAUGGCUCACCAAGGCGACGAUCCGUAACUGGUCUGAGAGGAUGAUCAGUCACACUGGAACUGAGACACGGUCCAGACUCCUACGGGAGCAGCAGUGGGAAUAUUGGACAAUGGG
rnacentral:rRNA from 1 species